AUGUAAUCUAAUGCUUACAACAUUAAUGAACCGGAUCCCAUUAGAAAUCCACAGUUAAGCGUGCUUGGGCUAGAGUAGUACUAGGAUGGAUGACCACUCAUGAAGUCCUAGUGUUUUACAUG
rnacentral:rRNA from 1 species